UCUCCUGACCUCGUGAUCCGCCCACCUCGGCUUCCCAAAGUGCUGGGAUUACAGGCGUGAGCCACCGUACCCGGCCAACAUGUUUGGCUUUAAGAGGAACUGCCAUACCCGUCUUCCCAGCCGAGGCCUCCGCCCGCACCCCCCACCACCCAACUCAGCUCGUCAUAACUCACAGGCCGGGUCCAGGGUGCCAGGAAUGCCACUGAGGCUGGCAGAGUCCUAAAAGGGAGUGGCAGGUGCUGCUCCACAAGGACGGUUGUCCACCCUCAAUGAGGGCUGCAGGGCAACUGCUGACUGUCUGGCAGCCAGAGGACAGGGACAGGCAGCCACCCUCUUGCCAUGACCACACCUGGGUCUCCCUCAGUGUGGCUCCCGAGGGGCCGUUGAACACAGUGUUGAGAACUGCUGAGAAAAUCACACCAAAGACGAACUACCCACAGAUGCCAGUCACCACUCCAGGGUGACGAGAAAGAGAACACACAGGCGGCAGCGUGACAAAAUGAGUCCCAGCAUGCUACAUCUGGUUUCGGGUUUUAUUUUAGAAUUUAUAAAAUUCCAGUGUCAUCCAUA
rnacentral:lncRNA from 1 species